AAAUAAGAAGCAAAUUGCAUAUUAGUUUCGACCUAAUACCUUGGUAUAAAAUACCCUUAUUUU
rnacentral:tRNA from 1 species